CAGCCUAGAGUGUGCAUGUGUAUAUUAAUUUUUUUCCUUUCUAAUUUUUUUUUAGAUGUCACCUAAGAAAGUAGGUAAACAAGGACAAAUAAUUCACAGCCAAGAGAGAGAUUAUUUCUAACUUGGCAGCUUUUAUGAAAAAAGAAGCAGAGCAAGGAAUUACUAUUCCUUUGAAAAAUGUUAGGUAAGUGAACAAUAUAAAUUCAUAUUUUAUUGUAGGAUGUUUUCAAAUUUUAAUUUUUAUUGUAUUGAUAACUUACAAUAAUAGUAUAUAAUUAUUUUAGACAACGUACGUUAGCUGCCACUCGAGUAUCCCAGUCAACUUACAGAAGAGUGGUCCAAGAGUCAGAAGAUAUAGAAAAUAUACCUUCCUGUUCCUUUACCAGUCCAAGGAAAAAAAGGUUAAGAAAAUCUCAGAAGAUUGGUAACAUUACUUUGACCCAAAUUAAAGAUAUAAAACAAAUAGUGUAUGAUUUCUACAUAUUUGAAAAAAGAAGACCUACUCUAAAAUAUGGACCAAAACGGACGAUAACAGAAAAGCUCUUAUGGAAUCUUACGACAUACGAUUGAAAAGGAUCAAAUAUUUAAAGCAAAUUUUUAAAUAUAAAGAGGAAGGCCGUAAUAUUGUAUAUACUGAUGAAAGUUACAUACAUAGCAGUCAUACAAAGGACAAAGGGUGGUUUGAUGAAAGUCGACAUGGAAUUAGAAAACCCAUUUCCAAAGGACAGAGACUGAUAAUUCUUCAUGCUGGGGGAAGAAAUGGUUUCGUAAAUAAUGGGUUACUGAUUUUUCGCUCAGGGUCAAAAAACGGAGACUAUCAUGAUGAUAUGAACCAUCACAACUUCAUGAAAUGGGCCGAAAAUCAGUUAAUUCCAAAUUUACUACCUAAUUCCGUCCUAGUAUUAGACAAUGCAGCUUAUCACAAUGUGCCUGUAGUCAAGAAUGUUACAUCUGGAAGUAAAAAGCAGGAAAUAGUUGACUGGCUCAAGGAACGUAAUUUUACAUUUGAUGCAAAACUCACCAAGACAGAGUUAUAUGAAAUAGUGUCUGAAAAUAAAAAAAAGUAUCCUGUAAAAACCAAGUUGGACGACCUAAUGGAAAAGCAUAAAAGCAUGGACACAUUGUGUUACGUUUGCCUCCAUACCACCCAGAGCUUAAUCCGAUAGAAAAAAUUUGGGCAACUGUUAAGAAUUGGGUGGCAAGCAGAAAUUCCACUUUUAAAUUGGCGGAUGUCGAAACUUUGACAAGGCAGAAAUUUCGAAUGAUGAGUGGAUAAAUAUUUGCAACCAUAUAGACAACAUAGAAAAACAAUAUUUCGAAAGUCAUCACCUUUUUGAUGAAGCAUUGGAUUUUUUAAAAUUUACAGUAAAUACAGGCUCAUCUGAUGAAGAGAUCGAAUGGUCUUCAUCGGAUGAAUCUGAUUUAGGUUAUAAUACACUAUCUGAUAGUGAAUAAAAAUAUAUAAUAUGUAAAAUAAUGAAAUAAAACUUUAAGCUUA